rnacentral:lncRNA from 1 species
CUUUGCAGAAGUCCCCUGUGAUAUCCAUGUGUUCUCUGGACACCUCGGCCGUGAGCUCUGCCUGCGUUGCAUUCUGCAGGAGAUAGUGCUGGAGUCUCAACUUGAGCAGAAGCCAUGAGCAGAUCUUCCUCAACCCUUAAUAGCCACAUCUCUGGUCUAAAACUUUGAAUGCAGUCUUAAAACUAAGGGCAGAGCUGAAGGCCUGUGCUGACUGAAGGCUUCUCCUGGUGUUCUGCCCAGGGACCUGGUCCUUCGCACUCCUGUAGAUAUGAAGCCUCCAAAUGCUCCGGUGUGUGCUCUGACAGCAAGGGAGGUGCAGAAGACAUUUUCCGACCAAAACAUCUUCAACUGUUUUUUGGCUUCAAGUUGUCGAAAGAUUUGGAGUAUUAGAUACCAAUCCUCAACCCUGAAAGUUAGUUUUCUCCAGAUCUCUGAGCAUCCACCAAACCACACCAUUUCAAAGGUGUACAUUGCAAAGCAAAGCCUGCUUUCAGUUCUGAAGGCACAGCGUCAAGUCCUGGUGCUUCACAAGGAGCCACGGCCAAGUGUGUACGGGGACAGUUGGCAGCAAAUACGUGGUAGAUCUGAGUUUUCCUGUGACGUGCCAACGCCCUGGUUGUAUCUCUGUGUGGUGCCUGCCUCCCGGCUGGCUGAUGGGCUGAGACGUGAGCGAGGGGUC